AUGCAGGGGCAGAUUGGUGGGGGGUGGGAUACCUCAACGAAGCCUCCAAGAAGUAGUUCGACGCCGCGGCAUCGUCGUCGUUGUGGCCGCCGCCGGCGGCCAAGGGUUUCCCCCGGUCCCAGGAGCCCCACCGCCAAAACACCGCCAACCGCCGGAUCCGGCGAGCAGAUCGAACGGGAGAAGGCGAGGAGGGUGGAGUUGGAGCUGGUCGAAUCAGAUCUGGAGGCGGACCGACGGAGAAAAUCCGGCCACCGCGAGCUCCAUCCACCGGGGCCUCGCCGCCCAAGCAAGCCGAGGAGCCCAGUCGAGCACCCGCAGCCGCCGUCCGCCGCAGGGAGCAGCGCUGCCCACCUUGACCGGGGCCGCUACCCCGGCACACCAUGCCCUCCGCGCGAGGCAGGAGCGGCAAGCCUCGCCGCCACCUUCCUCGGCACCGCGCGGGCUUGCCGGCGGCUGUCUCCGGUGGCGGCAAGGUCUGGAGGGAGGAGGGGAGAGGCCGGUGGCGGGCUAGGGUUGGGGGCCGCCCGAGUCGCCCCAAGGGAGCGACGCGGGGGCGGGUGA
rnacentral:rRNA from 1 species